rnacentral:rRNA from 1 species
UGCGUAGGCGGGUUUUUAAGUCAGGGGUGAAGUCCUGGAGCUCAACUCCAGAACUGCCUUUGAUACUGAAGAUCUUGAGUCCGGGAGAGGUGAGUGGAACUGCGAGUGUAGAGGUGAAAUUCGUAGAUAUUCGCAAGAACACCAGUGGCGAAGGCGGCUCACUGGCCCGGUACUGACGCUGAGGCACGAAAGCGUGGGAGCAAACA